GUGAGGAAUCUUGCACAAUGGGCGAAAGCCUGAUGCAGCGACGCCGCGUGAGGGACGAAGGCCUUCGGGUUGUAAAGCUCUUUAGCCGAUGAUUAUAAUGACUGUAGUCGGAAAAUAAGCCCCGGCUAACUUCGUGCCAGCAGCCGCGGUAAUACGAAGGGGGCGAGCGUUAUUCGGAAUCACUGGGCGUAAAGCGUGCGUAGGCGGCUUUGCAAGUUGGGAGUGAAAGCCCAGGGCUCAACCCUGGAAUUGCUCUCAAAACUGCAAGGCUCGAAUUCGGGAGAGGAUAGCGGAAUUGUCAGUGUAGCAGUGAAAUGCGUAGAUAUUGACAGGAACACCAGUGGCGUAAGCGGCUAUCUGGACCGAUAUUGACGCUGAGGCACGAAAGCGUGGGGAUCAAACAGGAUUAGAUACCCGGGUAGUCC
rnacentral:rRNA from 1 species